GAUGAACGCUGGCGGCGUGCCUAAUACAUGCAAGUCGAGCGAACAGACGAGGCGCUUGCUCCUCUCACGUUAGCGGCGGGCGGGUGUGUAACAUGUGGAUCCCCUCCCUGUAAGACUGGGAUCACUUCGGGAAACCGGAGCUAAUCCCGGAUAAUAUCUUGCACCGCGUGGUUCAAUAGUGAAAGACGGUUGUGCUGUCACUUAUCGCUGGUUCCCCGCCGCAUUAGCUAGUUGGUAAGGUCACAGCUUACCAAGGCAACGAUGCGUAGCCGACCUGACGGGGUGAUCGCCCACACUGGAGCGUAGACAGCGUCCAUACUCCUACGGGAGGCAGCAGUAGGGAAUCUUCCGCAAUGGGCGAAAGCCUGACGGAGCAGCGCCGCGCGAGUUAUGAAGGUCUUCGGAGCGUAAUACUCUGUUAUUAGGGAUGAACAAAUGUGUAAGGAACUAUGCACGUCGUGACGGUACCGAAUCAGAAAGCCACGGCUAACUACGUG
rnacentral:rRNA from 1 species